CAGGUCUGGAAGUCUGGAGCGCAGAUUCACUCCUUGCAUCCCAGCAUUGAAGUCGCCAUCUUGCCUCAGAGAGCCGGCAGAGCCAUCAAGCUGAAGACGCUCUCAUCCAGAAACACUGAAAGGUCAGUUCAUUCACACUCUGUUUACUCCUCUCAGCGAGUUAGGAUGAAGCCCACGCUUGAGAAGACAACAGGAUGAGUGAGCAGUAUGUGGACAUAUUCAGUGAUAAUAAAAAAAAA